rnacentral:rRNA from 1 species
UACGUAGGGGGCAAGCGUUGUCCGGAAUUAUUGGGCGUAAAGAGCUCGUAGGCGGCUUGUCACGUCGAUUGUGAAAGCCCGAGGCUUAACCUCGGGUCUGCAGGCGAUACGGGCUAGCUAGAGUGUGGUAGGGGAGAUCGGAAUUCCUGGUGUAGCGGUGAAAUGCGCAGAUAUCAGGAGGAACACCGGUGGCGAAGGCGGAUCUCUGGGCCAUUACUGACGCUGAGGAGCGAAAGCGUGGGGAGCGAACAGG